CUGCGGCGUCCACGUCGAGCCGGGGCACCCCCGUCUCUUCCCUGGCCUCCUCUCCGACCAGGUCCCCAGGGAUCUGCUCAGUGAAGGAGCUUCAGGAGGAGGUCACGUACAAGGGGUGCACGGCCAAUGUGACGGUGACCCGCUGUGAGGGCUUCUGCCCCUCCUCCGCCAGUUUCAACGUCCACACCGAGCAAGUGGACGUGCACUGCGGCUGCUGCUACCCUCUCAGCUCCUAUGAGAAGCAGCUCGUGC